AAAGGUGUGUCUCCCGUACAACUGGGCAGCACUUUCAAUUCAGAAGUGAGUUUUGGAGGCCUGGUCUGUUGUCCCCUAUGGAAAGAAGAAAAAGUCACUGCAAAAGCUGUCCGCAUCUCUCAGUGGGAGUCAGAUGGGCUGCCUUGUUCCCCUCCACAGCACAGGGUACGGUCUGCAUCGCAAGGCCAGAAACCAGUUCCUACAGAUCUGACUGCAGGACAAGUGUCACAGACUGUAAACGCUAAGGAAAAGGGAGACACCUUGUCUCAGUUUUGUCAUGUACUUAUAUAAAUAAAUAUCAGUAAUGCUGUGGAGGGAGCUGGGACUCCUAAAUAACCUGAGAAGUCAAUGAAAGGCCAAGAAGGAACCUUCUUGGUAAGCAUUUCCUUUUUUCUAAUAGGAAUGAAAAAGUAAAAGCGGACAGCAAUUUUGUGGAAUUUCAUUCAUAAAUAUUUAUUCUUAAAGGUUUAACCAAAAAGAGAGUGGAGCUUCAAAACACUUUUUCAGUGGACAAACAUCACUCAAUCCUUUGCCUAUUCUUGUAGAUGUGAUUCUUCGUUUGCA